AUGGAGUACUCCACACAAGCAAAUGAAUUACACAUACAAGUCUCACAAAAUGGAGAAAACAUAUAUGGAGUAAAAAUGAUCACAAAAUGGAGUUACACAUACAAGUCUCACAAAAUGGAGUAUUACACAUAUGGAGUAAUUUCACAUGGGAUGCACUCCGCACAAGUCUCAUCUCAAGGAACUACACAUACUCCACAUCUGAACAAGCCUCAUCUCAAGCAUCUGAACAAGCCUCAUGUCAAGCAUCUAAAGCAUCAUCUCAAGCAUCUGAACAAGCCUCAUGUCAAGCAUCUGAACAAGCCUCAUCUCAAGCAUCUAAACAAGCCUCAUCUUAAGCAUCUGAACAAGCCUCAUGUCAAGCAUCUGAACCAUCGUCUCAAGCAUCUGAACAAGCCUCAUCUCAAGCAUCACAAGCAGCACAAGCCUCAUCACUAA
rnacentral:rRNA from 1 species